UCCAACCCUCAGCUUGGAAGCUCGUUCAUACCCAGUUUGUUUUUGUUGUAUUUAAAAGCGUGUACUGUAGCCGUGGCGCAGAAUCAAACCAGUAUCGGAUCUACUUUGGUCUCAGCUGUUUUAGACUUUCUCUGCUGGAGAAAUGUGGCGGAUUGGAUUGUCUGACUGACCACAACUGUUUUGCAUACGAGCAAUGAGGGAACUGACCAAUCGUAGCCUAGACCUUUGUUCAAAGAUGAAGACACUUCAACAGGAAUCAUAUGAGCUUCAAGACCAAAUCACAGACCUACAAAAAGCAGAGGCUAGAUCCAAAGCGUCUCACUCAUGAGAAGAUGGACGAGUGAAGAGGGAGCCUCCCCGAGGCGAAGUACAGAAACAUCCUGCAGAAAGGCCAGUCUCACCGAGAGAAAUACCAGAAGAUGGCCACCAUCACACAGAAUGUCCUGCGGGGGAUCAUCAUUGCCAGUAAAGUGAACUGGCGAGAUGACCACCAAACUGAGAGCCAUCGCCAUGACGUUGGAGGACAUUCCCAUCUCUGAGGAAUGAGUAGUCAGCAUGGAAGGAAAAGUAAUUGUAACAUUGUUUAAGCAUAUGUACAGUUAUCAGAAGCUGUAGUGAGAGAGAAGGAACAAAGUGUUGAUAUCACAGUAAUGUAAAACACAUACAUAAUACACUGCUUCAGAGAUGGACAUUUGUACUGCAGUUGCACUGCAUUUUGUAUUGACCUUAACUUGAGUUAUGAAUAAAUCUACUAAUCAUCGGUUUGAAAUAAUAGUUAUUCUAUUGAAAUUAUGGAAAAUAAAUGAUGCAUGAUGAAA